GACGAACGCUGGCGGCGUGCUUAACACAUGCAAGUCGAACGGAAAGGCCCUGCUUUUGUGGGGUGCUCGAGUCGCGAACGGGUGAGUAACACGUGAGUAACCUGCCCUUGACUUUGGGAUAACUUCAGGAAACUGGGGCUAAUACCGGAUAGGAGCUCCUGCUGCAUGGUGGGGGUUGGAAAGUUUCGGCGGUUGGGGAUGGACUCGCGGCUUAUCAGCUUGUUGGUGGGGUAGUGGCUUACCAAGGCUUUGACGGGUAGCCGGCCUGAGCGGGUGACCGGCCAAAUUGGGACGGGGAUACGGCCCAGACUCCUAUGGGAGGCAGCAGUGGGGAAUAUUGCACAAUGGGCGGAAGCCUGAUGCAGCAAAGCCGCGUGCGGGAUGACGGCCUUCGGGUUGUAAACCGCUUUCGCCUGUGACGAAGCGUGAGUGACGGUAAUGGGUAAAGAAGCACCGGCUAACUACGUG
rnacentral:rRNA from 1 species